UGGGGGAUAUUGCACAAUGGGCGAAAGCCUGAUGCAGCGACGCCGCGUGGGGGAUGAAGGCCUUCGGGUUGUAAACUUCUUUUGCUCUGAACAAGGCAUGCUAAUGGGUGUGUUGAGUGUAGGGGUUGAUUAGCGCCGGCUAACUACGUGCCAGCAGCCGCGGUAAUACGUAGGGCGCGAGCGUUGUCCGGAAUUAUUGGGCGUACAGGGCUUGUAGGUGGCUGGUUGCGUCUGUCGUGAAAGCUCAUGGCUUAACUGUGGGUUUGCGGUGGGUACGGGCUGGCUUGAGUGCAGUAGGGGAGGCUGGAAUUCCUGGUGUAGCGGUGGAAUGCGCAGAUAUCAGGAGGAAUACCGUUGGCGAAGGCGGGUCUCUGGGCUGUUACUGACACUGAGGAGCGAAAGCAUGGGGAGCGAACAGG
rnacentral:rRNA from 1 species